rnacentral:rRNA from 1 species
AGUGGCGGACGGGUGAGUAACGCGUGGGUAACCUGCCUCAUACAGGGGGAUAACAGUUAGAAAUGACUGCUAAUACCGCAUAAGACCACAGCACCGCAUGGUGCAGGGGUAAAAACUCCGGUGGUAUGAGGUGGACCCGCGUCUGAUUAGGUAGUUGGUGGGGUAACGGCCUGCCAAGCCGACGAUCAGUAGCCGACCUGAGAGGGUGACCGGCCACAUUGGGACUGAGACACGGCCCAA